rnacentral:lncRNA from 13 species
CCCUCCAUUGGAUGGCAAAAGAACCAGGACAAAUUUCCUCGCAUUGAAAAGUGGAACCCAUACGAUACUCUGGCAGUAUGUACGAGGAGGAGUCGGUUGCUAUCUUUGGUUAUCUAGCUGUAUGAGUGUUACUCGGCCGUCAUAAAGCUAGCUAACCGAAUGUAGGAAUGUCCUCCAAACCUGCGACUCGGACAGGAAUAAAUGGUGUCUAGGAGUAAAGACACAAAAUAACAUAAUUGAUAUGCAAUUACAGGCCAAUACCUCAUUGCCUUUCCGGUUGAUCCAGUGCCCUUGUCACUGCAGUGGCUGCCUGAGAUACACCCACAAACUCUGCAGUAUGAACAGCACAAACUGUCUACUAAAUGUGACUGCCAGCCAUUCACACCAUGUCUGGAUUGAGCAAGGGGAAAGUGGCACAGUCGUCACAAAAAAACAGAAAGCAGGAGGGGAAGAAAAAGGCCAACCCCCUUGUCCCUCUUCCCUUAAAUCUCCAUCACCGGAAGCCUUUGGUGCCAUCUGUGACCCUGGAGAAAAGGACGGGCGAGAUGCCUCCACCCUGUGCCAACGGGGACAAAGGAGCUGCCAGUUAGAGCGGCCCCCCUCGCAGGCAGCCAGAGGACUCUGUGUGACUGACUGGGGCUGA